CCUACGGGAGGCAGCAGUGAGGAAUAUUGGUCAAUGGGCUUACGCCUGAACCAGCCAAGUCGCGUGAGGGAAGACUGCCCUAUGGGUUGUAAACCUCUUUUGUCAGGGAGCAACGCCGGCUACGUGUAGCCGGCCUGAUAGUACCUGCAGAAAAAGCAUCGGCUAACUCCGUGCCAGCAGCCGCGGCAAUACGGAGGAUGCGAGCGUUAUCCGGAUUUAUUGGGUUUAAAGGGUGCGUAGGCGGAAUGCCAAGUCAGCGGUAAAAUCGCGGGGCUCAACCUCGCUCCGCCGUUGAAACUGGCGUUCUUGAGUGGGCGAGAAGUAUGCGGAAUGCGUGGUGUAGCGGUGAAAUGCAUAGAUAUCACGCAGAACUCCGAUUGCGAAGGCAGCAUACCGGCGCCCAACUGACGCUGAAGCACGAAAGCGUGGGUAUCGAACAGGAUUAGAUACCCCAGUAGUC
rnacentral:rRNA from 1 species